GACGAACGCUGGCGGCGUGCUUAACACAUGCAAGUCGAACGGAAAGGCCCUGCUUUUGUGGUGUGCUCGAGUGGCGAACGGGUGAGUAACACGUGAGUAACCUGCCCUUGACUUUGGGAUAACUUCAGGAAACUGGGGCUAAUACCGGAUAGGAGCUCCUGCUGCAUGGUGGGGGUUGGAAAUUUUCGGCGGUUGGGGAUGGACUCGCGGCUUAUCAGCUUGUUGGUGGGGUAGUGGCUUACCAAGGCUUUGACGGGUAGCCGGCCUGAGAGGGUGACCGGCCACAUUGGGACUGAGAUACGGCCCAGACUCCUACGGGAGGCAGCAGUGGGGAAUAUUGCACAAUGGGCGGAAGCCUGAUGCAGCAACGCCGGGUGCGGGAUGACGGCCUUCGGGUUGUAAACCGCUUUCGCCUGUGACGAAGCGUGAGUGACGGUAAUGGGUAAAGAAGCACCGGCUAACUACGUG
rnacentral:rRNA from 1 species